GAUGAACGCUAGCGGGAGGCUUAACACAUGCAAGUCGAGGGGCAGCACGAUGUAGCAAUACGUUGGUGGCGACCGGCGCACGGGUGAGUAACGCGUAUGCAACCUACCCUGUACCGGAGGAUAACCCGGAGAAAUUCGGACUAAUACUCCAUAAAGAUAUAUUGAGGCAUCUUGAAAUAUUUAAAGCUUCGGUGGUAUAGGAUGGGCAUGCGUAACAUUAGCUGGUUGGCAGGGUAACGGCCUACCAAGGCAUCGAUGUUUAGGGGACCUGAGAGGGUGACCCCCCACACUGGUACUGAGACACGGACCAGACUCCUACGGGUGGCAG
rnacentral:rRNA from 1 species